AUUGAACGCUGGCGGCAUGCCUUACACAUGCAAGUCGAACGGCAGCGCGGACUUCGGUCUGGCGGCGAGUGGCGAACGGGUGAGUAAAACAUCGGAACGUACCCUGUUGUGGGGGAUAACUAGUCGAAAGAUUAGCUAAUACCGCAUACGACCUGAGGGUGAAAGUGGGGGACCGCAAGGCCUCACGCAGCAGGAGCGGCCGAUGUCUGAUUAGCUAGUUGGUGGGGUAAAGGCCCACCAAGGCGACGAUCAGUAGCUGGUCUGAGAGGACGAUAGGCCAAACUGGGACUGAGACACGGCCCAGACUCCUACGGGAGGCAGCAGUGGGGAAUUUUGGACAAUGGGGGCAACCCUGAUCCAGCAAUGCCGCGUGUGUGAAGAAGGCCUUCGGGUUGUAAAGCACUUUUGUCCGGAAAGAAAUCGCGCUGGUUAAUACCUGGCGUGGAUGACGGUACCGGAAGAAUAAGCACCGGCUAACUACGUGCCAGCCGCCGCCGUAA
rnacentral:rRNA from 1 species